UGCGCAGGCGGUUAUAUAAGUCAGAUGUGAAAUCCCCGGGCUCAACCUGGGAACUGCAUUUGAGACUGUAUGGCUAGAGUGUGUCAGAGGGGGGUAGGAAUUCCACGUGUAGCAGUGAAAUGCGUAGAUAUGUGGAGGAAUACCGAUGGCGAAGGCAGCCCCCCUGGGAUAACACUGACGCUCAUGCACGAAAGCGUGGGGAGCAAACAGGAUUAGAUACCCUGGUAGUCCACGCCCUAAACGAUGUCAACUAGUUGUCGGGACUUAAUUGUCUUGGUAACGCAGCUAACGCGUGAAGUUGACCGCCUGGGGAGUACGGUACGCAAGAUUAAA
rnacentral:rRNA from 1 species